AUUGAACGCUGGCGGAAUGCUUUACACAUGCAAGUCGAGCGGCAGCGCGGGGCAACCUGGCGGCGAGCGGCGAACGGGUGAGUAAUGUAUCGGAACGUGUCCUGUCGUGGGGGAUAGCCCGGUGAAAACCGGAUUAAUACCGCAUACGAUCGAGAGAUGAAAGUGGGGGACCGCAAGGCCUCACGCAAUAGGAGCGGCCGAUAUCUGAUUAGCUAGUUGGUGGGGUAAAGGCCCACCAAGGCUUCGAUCAGUAGCUGGUCUGAGAGGAUGAUCAGCCACACUGGGACUGAGACACGGCCCAGACUCCUACGGGAGGCAGCAGUGGGGAAUUUUGGACAAUGGGGGCAACCCUGAUCCAGCCAUUCCGCGUGAGUGAAGAAGGCCUUCGGGUUGUAAAGCUCUUUUGUCCGGGAAGAAACGGUUUCACCUAAUACGUGAGACUACUGACGGUACCGGAAGAAUAGGGACCGGCUAACUACGUGCCAGCCGCCGCGGUAAUAC
rnacentral:rRNA from 1 species